CUGAUUUAAUGAGCCUGAUCCAG
rnacentral:piRNA from 1 species